rnacentral:rRNA from 1 species
UACGUAGGGUGCGAGCGUUGCCCGGAUUUAUUGGGCGUAAAGGGCGCGUAGGCGGUCACGCACGUCCGUUGUGAAAUCGCUCGGCUCAACUGGGCGGGGUCAGCGGAUACGGCGUGGCUGGAGCAAGCUAGGGGGCAAUGGAAUUCCCGGUGUAGUGGUGGAAUGCGUAGAUAUCGGGAGGAACACCAGUGGCGAAGGCGGUUGCCUGGAGCUUUGCUGACGCUGAUGCGCGAAAGUGUGGGGAGCGAACAGG